GACGAACGCUGGCGGCGUGCCUAAUACAUGCAAGUCGAGCGCAGGAAACUGACGGAACUCUUCGGAGGGAAGGCAGUGGAAUGAGCGGCGGACGGGUGAGUAACACGUAAGGAACCUGCCUCGAGGAUUGGGAUAACUCCGAGAAAUCGGAGCUAAUACCGGAUAGUUCAACGGACCGCAUGGUCCGCUGAUGAAAGGCGCUUCGGCGUCACCUUGAGCUGGCCUUGCGGUGCAUUAGCUAGUUGGUGGGGUAACGGCCCACCAAGGCGACGAUGCAUAGCCGACCUGAGAGGGUGAUCGGCCACACUGGGACUGAGACACGGCCCAGACUCCUACGGGAGGCAGCAGUAGGGAAUCUUCCACAAUGGACGAAAGUCUGAUGGAGCAACGCCGCGUGAGUGAUGAAGGUUUUCGGAUCGUAAAACUCUGUUGUAAGGGAAGAACACGUACGAGAGGUAAUGCUCGUACCUUGACGGUACCUUACGAGAAAGCCACGGCUAACUACGUGCCAGCCGCCGCAGUAACAC
rnacentral:rRNA from 1 species